rnacentral:rRNA from 1 species
UUCUGGCUCAGGAUGAACGCUAGCGAUAGGCCUAACACAUGCAAGUCGAGGGGCAUCACAUGAGGUAGCAAUACUGAUGGUGGCGACCGGCGCACGGGUGAGUAACACGUAUGCAACCUGCCUUCAACAAGGGCAUAACCCGUUGAAAGACGGACUAAUUCCCUAUGACACAGGGGUCCCGCAUGGGGAUAUUUGUUAAAGAUUAAUCGGUUGGAGAUGGGCAUGCGUUCCAUUAGCUUGUUGGCGGGGUAACGGCCCACCAAGGCAACGAUGGAUAGGGGAACUGAGAGGUUUAUCCCCCACACUGGUACUGAGACACGGACCAGACUCCUACGGGAGGCAGCAGUGAGGAAUAUUGGUCAAUGGGCGCAAGCCUGAACCAGCCACGUCCGCGUGAAGGGAGACGGCCCUACGGGUUGUAAACUUCUUUUGCAAGGGAAUAAAGUUGGCCACGCGUGGCCUUUUGCAUGUACCUUGCGAAUAAGGAUCGGCUAACUCCGUGCCAGCCGCCGC